rnacentral:tRNA from 1 species
GCCGAGGUGGCGGAACUGGCAGACGCGCUGCGUUCAGGGCGCAGUGGGAGUGCUCCCAUAAGGGUUCAAGUCCCUUCCUCGGCACCA